AGUCGAAACGGCGGGAAACCGCCGUCUGCCGGGAAUGGCCGCCCGACACUGAUGAGACUGGCUAGA
rnacentral:hammerhead_ribozyme from 1 species